rnacentral:rRNA from 1 species
UCAAGAAACUUCCACAAUGGGCGGAAGCCUGACCCAGCAACGCCGCGUGAAGGAUGAAGUAUUUCGGUAUGUAAACUUCGAAAGAAUAGGAAGAAUAAAUGACGGUACUAUUUAUAAGGUCCGGCUAACUACGUGCCAGCAGCCGCGGUAAUACGUAGGGACCAAGCGUUGUUCGGAUUUACUGGGCGUAAAGGGCGCGUAGGCGGUGUGUCAAGUCAGUUGUGAAAUCUCCGAGCUUAACUCGGAACGGUCAACUGAUACUGUCACACUAGAGUACAGAAGGGGCAAUCGGAAUUCUUGGUGUAGCGGUGAAAUGCGUAGAUAUCAAGAGGAACACCUGAGGCGAAGGCGGGUUGCUGGGCUGAUACUGACGCUGAGGCGCGAAAGCUAGGGUAGCAAACGGGAUUAGAUACCCUCGUAGUCCCUGAGCGGGCUGGCAAGGCGCAU